AAUAUGUAAUACAUUUACGUUUUAAUGAAUAGUCUAACGAUUUAUAGUCGUUGUACUCUAUUGUUAUAAUAUGUCUUUUUGACUGAAUACAUGUUUGUUUUAUUUGUCUAUAUCCUAGAUUCGCAGCUGUACACAUCCUUCUACAAUGUAUGCAAACAUGCAACAUCAUUACACACAGUACAAGGAGUCAGACUGGCAUAUGAGGAGCAAAGGUGUGUAACACAUAUGAUGUAUUUAGCUAGUGAAACCACUACCAGUCUUAGAUGUAUAACUGAUGAUGACAAAGUUUUUUUUCUCUGCAUAAUAAUAGGAACCCAGGCAGUAGCAUCGUUUCACAAUGUUUCCAUCACCAUCAUCAGUGGAUGCCUUUGCCGUCCGUAGCCUGAGAUUUCAGAUUUGCAGCAAAAAAAUUUGAUUUUCUCAUUUAUUGGAAUGCUGUGCAGGUAUUUGUACCUUGCAGCCAUCCAUUACAAUGUCACCAAGCCGUAACAAAAGCAGGAGAGGGAAAGUACAAGGCUAUGUUCCCAAAACACACAAGUGACAUACCUUAUGUGGAUGAUGUGAUCAGGCUUGUGUUUGAUGAGGUAUUUGAAGAUAAGCUGAAGGAAGCCCCGAUUCCAAUGGACCUGGCAUCACAGUUUGAGAGACCUUCAAAGGAGGACGUGAUUGCAUGCCAUCUUCAG